rnacentral:rRNA from 1 species
UACGGAGGGUGCGAGCGUUGUCCGGAAUCACUGGGCGUAAAGGGCGCGUAGGUUGGCGGAGCAAGUCAACGGUCGAAAGCUCGACGCUCAAACGUCGAGUCGGCCGUCGAGACUGCUUGCUCGAGACACUGUAGAGGCAGAAUGGAAUCCGGGUGUAGCGGUGGAAUGCGUAGAGAUCCGGAAGAACACCGGUGGCGAAGGCGGUCUGCUGGGCAGUGCUGGAACACUGGAGGCAGCGGACGAGCGUCGGGGAGCAAACAGGG